CAAUAGCGUAUAUUAAAGUUGUUGCAGUUAAAAAGCUCGUAGUUGGAUUUCUGUGAGAGUGCCGGUGUCGGCUGAUUCUUGUACGCAGGCGCUCUUACAUCCUUCUGUUAACUGAUCUUGGCAUUUUAUUGCUGGUUCAGGGCUCAGAUAUUUUACCUUGAGAAAAUUAGAGUGUUUCAGGCAGGCUUAUGCCGGAAUACAUUAGCAUGGAAUAAUGGAACAGGACCUGUGCGUCUUUCGGGGCGCCGGUCUCCGUUAUUGGUUUCGGGGACUAAAGUAAUGAUUAAUAGGGAUAGUUGGGGGCAUUAGUAUUUAAUAGUCAGAGGUGAAAUUCUCGGAUUUGUUAAAGACUAACUUAUGCGAAAGCAUUUGCCAAGGAUGUUUUCAUUAA
rnacentral:rRNA from 1 species